AUACUUACCUGGCAGGAGAGAUACCAUGAUCACGAAGGUGGUUUUCCCAGGGCGAGGCUUCUCCAUUGCACUCCGGGUGUGCUGACCCCUGCGAUUUCCCCAAAUGUGGGAAACUCGACUGCAUAAUUUGUGGUAGUGGGGGACCGCGUUCGCGCUUUCCCCUA
ensembl:snRNA U1 U1 spliceosomal RNA